AGCAGCCGCGGUAAUUCCAGCUCCAAUAGCGUAUAUUAAAGUUGUUGCAGUUAAAAAGCUCGUAGUUGAAUUUCGGGAUUAGUAGAUCGGUCGUGCCUCUGGUAUGUACUGAUCUUACUGAUUCCUCCUUCUUGACGAACUGUAAUGUCAUUAAUUUGGUGUUGCAGGGAAUCAGGACUGUUACUUUGAAAAAAUUGAGUGUUUAAAGCAAGCAAAAGCUUGAAUACAUUAGCAUGGAAUAAUGAAAUAGGACGUUUGAUCCUAUUUUGUGGUUUCUAGGAUCGACGUAAUGAUUAAUAGGGAUAGUUGGGGGCAUUAGUAUUCAAUUGUCAGAGGUGAAAUUCUUGGAUUUAUUGAAGACUAACUACUGCGAAAGCAUUUGCCAAGGAUGUUUUCAUUAAUCAAGAACGAAAGUUAGGGAUCGAAGACGAUCAGAUACCGUCGUAGUCUUAACCAUAAACUAUGCCGACUAGGGAUCGGAUGAUGUUAAUUUUUANGUA
rnacentral:rRNA from 1 species